rnacentral:sRNA from 1 species
CCCAUGUGAACUUAUCUCUUUGUUGCCUCGGCGCAAGCUACCCGGGACCUCGCGCCCCGGGCGGCCCGCCGGCGGACAAACCAAAACUCUUGUUAUCUUAGUUGAUUAUCUGAGUGUCUUAUUUAAUAAGUCAAAACUUUCAACAACGGAUCUCUUGGUUCUGGCAUCGAUGAAGAACGCAGCGAAAUGCGAUAAGUAAUGUGAAUUGCAGAAUUCAGUGAAUCAUCGAAUCUUUGAACGCACAUUGCGCCCAUUAGUAUUCUAGUGGGCAUGCCUGUUCGAGCGUCAUUUCAACCCCUAAGCACAGCUUAUUGUUGGGAACCUACGGCUUCGUAGUUCCUCAAAGACAUUGGCGGAGUGGCAGUGGUCCUCUGAGCGUAGUAAUCUUUUAUCUCGCUUCUGUUAGGUGCUGCCCCCCCGGCCGUAAAACCCCCAAACGGCGAGUGAAGCGGGAACAGCUCAAAUUUGAAAUCNGGCCCUCGGGUCCGAGUUGUAAUUUGUAGAGGAUGCUUUUGGUGCGGUGCCUUCCGAGUUCCCUGGAACGGGACGCCUUAGAGGGUGAGAGCCCCGUACGGUUGGACGCCUAGCCUCUGUAAAGCUCCUUCGACGAGUCGAGUAGUUUGGGAAUGCUGCUCUAAAUGGGAGGUAUAUUUCUUCUAAAGCUAAAUACUGGCCAGAGACCGAUAGCGCACAAGUAGAGUGAUCGAAAGAUGAAAAGCACUUUGAAAAGAGGGUUAAAUAGCACGUGAAAUUGUUGAAAGGGAAGCGUUUAUCACCAGACUUUUUCUAGGGGGAUCAUCCGGUGUUCUCACCGGUGCACUUCCCCUGGUUGAGGCCAGCAUCGGUUUUCGGAGGGGGAUAAAAGCUUCGGGAAUGUGACUCCCUCGGGAGUGUUAUAGCCCGUUGCAUAAUACCCUUCUGGGGACCGAGGUUCGCGCAUCUGCAAGGAUGCUGGCAUAAUGGUGAUCAACGACCCGUCUUGAAACACGGACCAAGGAGUCGAACAUUUAUGCGAGUGUUUGGGUGUCAAACCCUCACGCGUAAUGAAAGUGAACGGAGGUGAGAGCCCUUACGGGUGCAUCAUCGACCGAUCCUGAUGUCUUCGGAUGGAUUUGAGUAAGAGCAUA